GAUUGGUGGCCUGAGAGAAUUCCGCCAGCCGGGCUCUGUUCUCAAAUUCCUAACUGACAUCUGGGGCCAAAAUUUAAGUUAAUGCACAUCCUCAGAUACACGAGGUAUCCUGGAAACCCUGCAAACCCUAGACAAAUUUGGGAAUGGGACAAGGGCCGGCAUCGGCGCGACGGAAUGGUCUACGAAAGGAAUGGUCUCGAUUUGCGGAUUGUCGCGGAAAACCCGAAAAGAGGUCACUACCGCGAGCGAUUUUUUGUAACCUUAUCAACCUUUGCAAAGUAAGUUUAUUCAAAGGAAAAUCGGCAUACGUACUCCCUCGGCCCUCUUUUUUCUUCUCCAAUUAGAAUUAGCCAGAUCUUUGAAGGUUUUAGUAACUAAUUUUUGUUUGUUUAUUAGGAGAUCUUAGUACAGGAAGUAGCUUAAUGUCUGCUUCCUUUCCUCACUCUUGUCAUCAGUGCCUCAAAGAAGCCUCCCGGAAGUUUCUCCUAAAACCACUUUUAUAUUUCUUUUACUUAAGCCCUAAUGUGAUCCCUAGUUACAGCAUAAACAGGAGAAACACCUCCCAUCACAAAUCCGAUCCUGUUACUGAGGAAGAAGGGGAGAGUGGACAUUAGGACGCUUAAGGAAAGGUUUCAUGCCAUGCUCUCAAGUCACCAGGAAAUGUGUGCUUCAAAAAGAAGAGUUAGCUUCGUCCAGUGACCUUGACCAAAUAGCCUUGUGUUUUCUGGAGUACUGCUAUUUAAGCUUGUUUCUAUGUAAAUUUUCUCAUUAGUAGAUAUUGAAUUGUAAAAGUAUGUUUAUUUAAGCUAUGCUUGGUUGUUGGAAUGUUUUUUACUACCACAUCAAGCACUGCAGUGAGUAUCCAUAAAGCUAAUUUACUUACUUAGGCUAAAUCAUGGAGGUAGGACUUUAUGUAUAUUUAAUUUUUUUUAGAGACUAGAGUCUAGAAAUACUGUGUUAGAUGCAAUCACACCAUUGCAGGUAGCCAAUCUGAAGGCAAUUUUAUUACAGUAAAACGAAAAGGGAUGUUUAUCGUGAAACAAAAACAUAAGAAGUUGCAGGUAAAGUAACAUUAAAUACAUAGGAAUGACUUUGUCCCCACUCAACCCCCACUGAACCUACAGUAAAGAGAUGUAAGAUGUAAGCCAACAAGAUGGCUAAAGGCACUUGCUACCAGGCCUGACAACCUAACUGGAACCUUCUGGAACCACGUGGUAAAAGGAGAAUACAGUUGUCUUCAGACCUCUGCAAGCAUGGGCCAUAGUAAAUAUAAUGUAAUGAAAGAAAAGUAAACAUUUCCCAAAGUGUAAAGAAGAGAGGAAGCAAGAAAAGAAAAAAAAUAAAUAAAGUAAUGCUUUGGAAGAUACAAAUCAGAAAAGAACAAUUCACCAAUCCAGACACGAGAGCCAGCUCCAAAUCAGAAAUAAAGGAACGGGAAGCCAGCCUAGCUUAUCCUGAGGAACUCUCUAAACAAACAGGAGCGGAGAUUUAGCUCAAGUCUUUACCAUUUCCUGCUUGGAUUUACUACAGCCACUGAAAUAUGUGUCUAACACAGGACCUGUCCUGUGUACUCUGCACACACAGUGUCCCUUACUGCAGGACCUCUCCUGUGUACUCUGCACACAGUGUCCCUCUCUGCAGGAUCUCUCCUGUGUAUUCUGCACACACGGUGACCCUCUCUGCAGGACCUGUCCUGUGUAUUCUGCACACACGGUGACCCUCUCUGCAGGACCUGUCCUGUGUAUUCUGCACACACGGUGACUCUCUCCUCCACCACCAAUGACUUUUCUAUAGCAAAAAUCUAAUUCCACUGGUAAAAGUCCUGGGUUGGCAUGCCCUGUUUUUCUUGUUCUUUUUAAAAUAAAAUUUUAGGUAAAUUUACAAAGUAAUGAGUGUUGUUUUAUACACAUAUAUCAAUGGUUUUUUGCUUUUGCUCAUCCUUGGUCUUUCCUCUCUUCCUUCUUCUCCUCUUCCUUCCCAAAAAUACAAUAUAGGUUUAUUCUCUCUCUCUCUUCCCCUCUUGGGGGGGGGCAGUCCUUGCCUUCCGCUUUGUUGGAGACAGGAUGAUAUCUCUUUAAAACAAAGACCCUGAGGUCUCAUUUGACACGCCCACUCCUACACAUCUUGACUGAUAGUGCUUGAAUGUGAAAUGGCUCCAGUAGGCUAUAUUUGAACAUUUGGUCCCCAGAUGUGUGGCUGUUUGGAGAAUCUGGGGGAUCUUCAGGAGCUGAGACCCAGAUUAAGGUGGUAGGUGCCUGGGGGAGAGCCUAAGGGGGUUGUCACCUGACCCUGCUUCCACUGCAUCCUGAUCUGCUAUGAUUGUGAGGAGCCUGAGCUACAUGCUCAGGGACACACCUUCCUUGCUAUGACACACUCUAGUCUGAAAUCCUGGAGUCAAAGAAACUUUGCCUCCCUUACACUGUUGGCAGGUGGUCUGUCCAGCAGCUGAGAAAAAAGAUUAAUACACCUACUCAUGUCUAAUUAAGAAAAAAAAAUGUGGAGGCUGGAGAGGCAGCACAGCAGCUGAGAGUGGUCCUGCUAUUCCAGAAGACUAGCAUCGGUUCCCAGCUCCCAAUCCAGUGGCCCAGGAUCACUGUAAUUCCAGCUCGGGCAUCUGCUUCUGGUUUCUCACGAGUACAUUUGCAUAUCCCCACACAGACAAAGAUAGAUAGAUAGAUAGAUAGAUAGAUAGAUAGAUAGAUAGAUAGAUAGAUAGAUGGAUGGAUGGAUGGAUGGAUGGAUGGAUGGAUGGAUGGAUGGAUGGAUGGAUAGAUAGAUUAGAGAUAUAAAAUUUUAAAAUAAAAAUAAAUCUUUU
ensembl:lincRNA Gm10101 predicted gene 10101